rnacentral:rRNA from 1 species
AUUGAACGCUAGCGGGAUGCCUUACACAUGCAAGUCGAACGGAGUGGCGAACGGGUGAGUAAUGUAUAGGAACGUGCCCAGUAGCGGGGGAUAACUACGCGAAAGCGUAGCUAAUACCGCAUACUAUUGGAGCGGCCGAUAUGGGAUUAGCUAGUUGGUGGGGUAACGGCGCAUCAAGGCGACGAUCCGUAGCCGGGUUGAGAGGACGACCAGCCACACUGGAACUGAGACACGGCCCAGACUCCGACGGGAGGCAGCAGUGGGGAAUAUUGGACAAUGGGGGAAAGCCUGAUGCAGCCAUGCCGCGUGUGCGAAGAAGGCCUUCGGGUUGUAAAGUACUUUUGGCAGGGAGGCGUUACCUGCAGAAUAAGCACCGGCUAACUACGUGCCAGCAGCCGCGGUAAUAC